UUGAAACUGGUAUGAAGGAUUAAACAAAUUGAUAUUUUAUUUUAAUAGGUUAUAGUAUAAUUUAUAAUUUAUGUAAAAAUACUUAAAUGAAUUAGAGGGACGAUAAGACCCUAAAAGGUUUAUUUUUUGUUUCAGGUUAUUUUAUUGUUAAGAAGACUUGAUAUUGAAUUUUAGCUGGGGUAGUUGUAUUUAUUAAUAAAUAAUCUCAAUAACGAAUUGUUGAUAAGAUUCUUUAUAUUAGGAUAAUUAGUAUAAGUUACUUUAGGGUUAACAGCAUAAUAAUAAUUGUAAGAUCUUAUUUAUAUUAUUGAUUGUGACCUCGAUGUUGAAUUAAUUGUCCUUAUAAAGCAGAAGGUAUAAUAGGAUAGUUUGUUCAACUUUUAAAUUUUUACAUGAUCUG
rnacentral:rRNA from 1 species